UAAAUACAGCACACACAACAAUUUCCAAAAGACCAAAAAAAGUGAAAAAGUCUAUUUUAACAAAACGCAUUUGACUAACAGGUCGAACAACUGAUGUUCUUAAACCCUGCUGACUGCCAUUGGCGAUUGCCAAAUAAAUUGAUCACCAGAUCUAACGAAAUGGAUCUUAAUAUUAAUUCAAUACCAAACAGAAAACAAUAAACUUGUGGAAAAGAUGGUAUACCACAAACAUGAGGUGCAAAAAUUUGUACAACAUAUCCGGAUUUCGACAAUUAAUGUCUCUUCAGUGAUGUUAGGGAUCGAAACGGUAUUUGGAAAGCCAUAUAAUUUACCUCAAUUUAGGAUAGACUCUUGAAUUUUAAAGAGUCGAAAUAGGAUGAACGGAUCAUAUAAACCCGAAGGAAAAUCUAAUACAAGCCCAAACGAAAAAAUAUAUAAAAGUCUAAAUUGAAAACAACGUUCAAACCUAUGAUUGCGUUGGAUAAAAACGCAAUUUUUAUACGUGUGCAUGUAAAACAAAUUUCUUGGUAGAGGGGUCUAAAUACAGCACAAACAACAAUUUCCAAAAGACCAAAAAAAUGAAAAAGUCUAUUUUAACAAAACGCAUUUGACUAACAGGUCGAACAACUGAUGUUCUUAAACCCUGCUGACUGCCAUUGGCGAUUGCCAAAUAAAUUGAUCACCAGAUCUAACGAAAUGGAUCUUAAUAUUAAUUCAAUACCAAACAGAAAACAAUAAACUUGUGGAAAAGAUGGUAUACCACAAACAUGAGGUGCAAAAAUUUGUAUACCAUAUCCGGAUUUCGACAAUUAAUGUCUCUUCAGUGAUGUUAGGGAUCGAAACGGUAUUUGGAAAGCCAUAUAAUUUACCUCAAUUCAGGAUAGACUCUUGAAUUUUAAAGAGUCGAAAUAGGAUGAACGGAUCAUAUAAACCCGAAGGAAAAUAUAAUACAAGCCCAAACGAAAAAAUAUAUAAAAGUCUAAAUUGAAAACAACGUUCAAACCUAUGAUUGCGUUGGAUAAAAACCGCAAUUUUUAUACGUGU